CCAAGGAGUCUAGCGUGUGCGCGAGUCAUUGGGUGUAAAACCUAAAGGCGCAAUGAAAGUGUCAGGGGUGCCUCCUUUAGGAGCGCUCCCCGUCGGGAGGAUGGGCCGCCGCACGAUCACUCGUCGGAGCCCCGCACUCCCGGGGCGUCUCGUUCUCAUCACGAGUGGAGACGCACCAGGAGCGCACACGCUGGUACCCGAAAGAUGGUGAACUAUGCCUGGCCAGGACGAAGCCAGGGGAAACCCUGGUGGAGGUCCGAAGCGAUUCUGACGUGCAAAUCGAUCGUCUGAGCUGGGUAUAGGGGCGAAAGACCAAUCGAACCAUCUAGUAGCUGGUUCCCUCUGAAGUUUCCCUCAGGAUAGCUGGCUCUCGGGAAGAGACGAGUCUCAUCCGGUAGAGCGAAUGAUUAGAGGUGAUGGGGUCGAAACGACUUCAACCUAUUCUCAAACUCCCAAUAGAUGAGAGCCCCGGCUUGCUUAAAAGUGAAGCCGCGGGACUCGGAUCAGAGACGCCAAGUGGGCCAAUUUU
rnacentral:rRNA from 1 species